rnacentral:tmRNA from 1 species
GGGGGCGUUCUGGUUUCGACGGAAUGUUUGACGCGCUGGCUGCACGUAGAGGUUGGUCGGUUGGCCUCUUAAAAAAGCCGCCCAACACACAUAAAUGCAAACUCUAACGAGCUCGCACUUGCUGCUUAAUUGACGGCAACGCCGAUUCCCCGAUGUCUGUUAAGGGAGGAAGCGAAACUUAGCAGACUGGAUGGUGAGCCGGGGAACCGGGCAUGCCAUCGAGACUAAACAGGCUCCUAGGAAACACAACGCGGCGGGUCGGCCCAGCGUUUCCGAAACACCA